ensembl:snRNA U1 U1 spliceosomal RNA
AUACUUACCUGGCAGGGGAGAUACCAUGAUCACAAAGGUGGGUUUCCCAGGGCAAGGCUUAUCCAUUGCACUCUGGAUGUGCUGACCCCUGCGAUUUCCCCAAAUGUGGGAAACUCGACUGCAUAAUUUGCGGUAGUGGGCGACUG